AACGAACGCUGGCGGCAUGCCUAACACAUGCAAGUCGAACGAGACCUUCGGGUCUAGUGGCGCACGGGUGCGUAACGCGUGGGAACCUGCCCUUAGGUUCGGAAUAACUCCCCGAAAGGGGUGCUAAUACCAGAUAAUGUCUUCGGACCAAAGAUUUAUCGCCUUUGGAUGGGCCCGCGUUGGAUUAGCUAGUUGGUAGGGUAAAAGCCUACCAAGGCGACGAUCCAUAGCUGGUCUGAGAGGAUGAUCAGCCACACUGGGACUGAGACACGGCCCAGACCCCCAGGGGGGGCAGCAGGGGGGAAUUUUGGAAAAGGGGCGAAAGCCUGAUCCCGCAAGGCCGGGGGAGGGAUGAAGGCCUUAGGGUUGUAAAGCUUUUUUACCCGGGAUGAUAAUGACAGUACCGGGAGAAUAAGCCCCGGCUAACCCCGU
rnacentral:rRNA from 1 species